rnacentral:rRNA from 1 species
UGAGGAAUAUUGGUCAAUGGGCGAGAGCCUGAACCAGCCAAGUAGCGUGCAGGACGACGGCCCUAUGGGUUGUAAACUGCUUUUGUAAGGGAACAAAGUGUGGGACGCGUCCCGUUUUGCGUGUACCUUACGAAUAAGGACCGGCUAAUUCCGUGCCAGCAGCCGCGGUAAUACGGAAGGUCCGGGCGUUAUCCGGAUUUAUUGGGUUUAAAGGGAGCGCAGGCCGGGUAUUAAGCGUGUUGUGAAAUGUAGGCGCCCAACGUCUGCACCGCAGCGCGAACUGGUGCCCUUGAGUACGCACGACGUUGGCGGAAUUCGCCGUAUAGCGGUGAAAUGCUUAGAUAUGGCGAAGAACUCCGAUUGCGAAGGCAGCUGACGGGAGCGC